UACGGAGGGUGCAAGCGUUAUCCGGAUUUACUGGGUUUAAAGGGUGCGUAGGUGGGUCUGUAAGUCAGUGGUGAAAUCUUCAAGCUUAACUUGGAAACUGCCAUUGAUACUAUAGGUCUUGAAUUAUCUGGAGGUAAGCGGAAUAUGUCAUGUAGCGGUGAAAUGCUUAGAGAUGACAUAGAAUACCUAUUGCGAAGGCAGCUUACUACGCAGAUAUUGACGCUGAGGCACGAAAGCGUGGGGAGCAAACAGG
rnacentral:rRNA from 1 species